UUUUGCCUUGAUUCCUCUGCUUCACAGAGUCAAUCCAGUCUCAGGGGAGCAUCUGCCAGUAGCCCUUGCAUCCUGUGCUAAAUACAAGAUUGAUCCUUUCCACCUCAAGCAACUUGGAAGACUGGAGGCCGUCAUCCUAAGUGAAGUAACUCAGGAACGGAAAACAAAAAGCAGCAUGUUUCCACUUGUAAGUGGGAGCUAAGCUAUGGAUACACAAAGGCAUACAGAACGCUAUAAUGGACAUUGGAGACUCAGAAGAAGAGAAGAAUGAAGAUUUUGAGGUUGGAAAAAGUCAGCACCUAGGAGCUGGUUUCAAGACCCUGGGGAGACAAACUGAAUAACAUUACUGAAAUGCUUUAUGUAAUGCUGUGCUUGCAAAAGAUUGUAUUGCCCUUUUACCCGAAAUAGGUAAUAUUUCAUGUUCAAUAUUGUGAUCAUUUCCUCCUC
ensembl:lncRNA